rnacentral:rRNA from 1 species
AGUGAACGCUGGCGGUAGGCCUAACACAUGCAAGUCGAACGGCAGCACAGUAAGAGCUUGCUCUUACGGGUGGCGAGUGGCGGACGGGUGAGGAAUACAUCGGAAUCUACUUUUUCGUGGGGGAUAACGUAGGGAAACUUACGCUAAUACCGCAUACGACCUACGGGUGAAAGCAGGGGAUCUUCGGACCUUGCGCGAUUGAAUGAGCCGAUGUCGGAUUAGCUAGUUGGCGGGGUAAAGGCCCACCAAGGCGACGAUCCGUAGCUGGUCUGAGAGGAUGAUCAGCCACACUGAAACUGAGACACGGUCCAGACUCCUACGGGAGGCAGCGUGGGGGAAUAUUGGACAAGGGGCGCAAGCCUGAUCCAGCCAAACCGCGUGGGUGAAGAAGGCCUUCGGGUUGUAAAGCCCUUUUGUUGGGAAAGAAAAGCAGCAGGUUAAUACCCCGCUGUUCGGAGGUACCCAAAGAAUAAGCACCGGCUAACUUCGUG